rnacentral:rRNA from 1 species
AUUGAACGCUGGCGGCAUGCCUUACACAUGCAAGGUCGAACGGCAGCACGGGAGCAAUCCUGGUGGCGAGUGGCGAACGGGUGAGUAAUAUAUCGGAACGUGCCCAGUCGUGGGGGAUAACGUAGCGAAAGCUACGCUAAUACCGCAUACGAUCUAUGGAUGAAAGCGGGGGAUCGCAAGACCUCGCGCGAUUGGAGCGGCCGAUAUCAGAUUAGGUAGUUGGUGAGGUAAAGGCUCACCAAGCCGACGAUCUGUAGCUGGUCUGAGAGGACGACCAGCCACACUGGGACUGAGACACGGCCCAGACUCCUACGGGAGGCAGCAGUGGGAAUUUUGGACAAUGGACGCAAGUCUGAUCCAGCCAUUCCGCGUGCAGGAUGAAGGCCCUCGGGUUGUAAACUGCUUUGUACGGAACGAAAAGGUUUGUCUUAAUACGAUGAGCUCAUGACGGUACCGUAAGAAUAAGCACCGGCUAACUACGUG